UAGCUAGUUGGUGAGGUAACGGCUUACCAAGGCGACGAUCUGUAGCGGGUCUGAGAGGAUGAUCCGCCACACUGGAACUGAGACACGGUCCAGACUCCUACGGGAGGCAGCAGUGGGGAAUUUUGGACAAUGGGGGCAACCCUGAUCCAGCCAUGCCGCGUGAGUGAAGAAGGCCUUCGGGUUGUAAAGCUCUUUCGGCCGGGAAGAAAUCGCAUGGGCCAAUACCCUGUGUGGAUGACGGUACCGGAAUAAGAAGCACCGGCUAACUACGUGCCAGCAGCCGCGGUAAUACGUAGGGUGCGAGCGUUAAUCGGAAUUACUGGGCGUAAAGCGUGCGCAGGCGGUUUUGUAAGACAGGCGUGAAAUCCCCGGGCUCAACCUGGGAACUGCGUUUGUGACUGCAAGGCUAGAGUACGGCAGAGGGGGGUGGAAUUCCACGUGUAGCAGUGAAAUGCGUAGAGAUGUGGAGGAACACCAAUGGCGAAGGCAGCCCCCUGGGUCGAUACUGACGCUCAUGCACGAAAGCGUGGGUAGCAAACAGGAUUAGAUACCCUGGUAGUCCACGCCCUAAACUAUGUCAACUAGGUGUUGGGUGGGUAAAACCAUUUAGUACCGUAGCUAACGCGUGAAGUUGACCGCCUGGGGAGUACGGCCGCAAGGUUAAAACUCAAAGGAAUUGACGGGGACCCGCACAAGCGGUGGAUGAUGUGGAUUAAUUCGAUGCAACGCGAAAAACCUUACCUACCCUUGACAUGCCAGGAACUUGCCAGAGAUAGCUUGGUGCCCGAAAGGGAGCCUGGACACAGGUGAUGCAUGGCUGUCGUCAGCUCGUGUCGUGAGAUGUUGGGUUAAGUCCCGCAACGAGCGCAACCCUUGUCGUUAAUUGCCAUCAUUUAGUUGGGCACUUUAGCGAGACUGCCGGUGACAAACCGGAGGAAGGUGGGGAUGACGUCAAGUCCUCAUGGCCCUUAUGGGUAGGGCUUCACACGUCAUACAAUGGUCGGUACAAAGGGUCGCCAAGCCGCGAGGUGGAGCCAAUCCCAGAAAGCCGAUCGUAGUCCGGAUUGCAGGCUGCAACUCGCCUGCAUGAAGUCGGAAUCGCUAGUAAUCGUGGAUCAGCAUGUCACGGUGAAUACGUUCCCGGGUCUUGUACACACCGCCCGUCACACCAUGGGAGCGGGUUCCGCCAGAAGUAGGUAGCCUAACCGCAAGGAGGGCGCUUACCACGGCGGGGUUCGUGACUGGGGUGAAGUCGUAACAAGGUAGCCGUAGGGGAACCUGCGGCUG
rnacentral:rRNA from 1 species